UACAGAGGUCCCAAGCGUUGUUCGGAUUCAUUGGGCGUAAAGGGUGCGUAGGCGGCGCGGUAAGUCGGGUGUGAAAUCUCGGGGCUUAACUCCGAAACUGCAUUCGAUACUGCCGUGCUUGAGGACUGGAGAGGAGACUGGAAUUUACGGUGUAGUGGUGAAAUGCGUAGAUAUCGUAAGGAAGACCAGUGGCGAAGGCGGGUCUCGUGGACAGUUCCUGACGCUGAGGCACGAAGGCCAGGGGAGCAAACGGG
rnacentral:rRNA from 1 species